CCCAUUGAGUUUAAGAAUAUAAUUAAGCAGAGGAAAAUAAACUUACAAGGAUUCCCCUAGUACCAACAAGCGAACUGGGAAGAGCCCAUAAUGAAAAUCGGGUGGCAGCGCCUCCUGAAUUGUAGUCUGUAUAAGCGUCCUUAGCAGUGGACCGGGCCCAAGUCCCCUGGAAGGGGGUGCCUGAGAGGGUGACAUCCCUGUUGGGUUGGGACCCUGUCGCACCACGAGGCAUUGUUGACAAGUUGGGUUGUUUGGGAAUGCAGCCCUAAUCGGGUGGUAAAUUUCGUCCAAGGCUAAAUACAGUCGAGAGAUUGAUAGCGAACAAGUACCGCAAGG
rnacentral:ncRNA from 1 species